AACCUAGUACUGGAUUAGUCACCA
rnacentral:miRNA from 1 species